rnacentral:rRNA from 1 species
AAAACUUUCAACAACGGAUCUCUUGGCUCUUGCAUCGAUGAAGAACGCAGCGAAAUGCGAUAAGUAAUGUGAAUUGCAGAAUUCAGUGAAUCAUCGAAUCUUUGAACGCACCUUGCGCCCUUUGGUAUUCCGAAGGGCAUGCCUGUUUGAGUGUCAUG